rnacentral:rRNA from 1 species
CAGCAGCCGCGGUAAUACGGAGGGUGCAAGCGUUAUCCGGAUUUAUUGGGUUUAAAGGGUCCGUAGGCGGAUCUGUAAGUCAGUGGUGAAAUCUCACAGCUUAACUGUGAAACUGCCAUUGAUACUGCAGGUCUUGAGUAAAUUUGAAGUGGCUGGAAUAAGUAGUGUAGCGGUGAAAUGCAUAGAUAUUACUUAGAACACCAAUUGCGAAGGCAGGUCACUAAGAUUUAACUGACGCUGAUGGACGAAAGCGUGGGGAGCGAACAGGAUUAGAGACCCCUGUAGUCCCUGUCUCUUAUAU